rnacentral:tRNA from 1 species
GGGGUCGUGGCAGAGCGGUUUAAUGCGAUGGUCUCAAAAACCGUUAGGGUUUCUGCCCUCGUGGGUUCGAAUCCCACCGACCCCG